rnacentral:tRNA from 2 species
GCCGUCUUAGCUCAGUUGGUAGAGCGCAUCCAUGGUAAGGAUGAGGUCACCAGUUCAAGCCUGGUAGACGGCUCCA